GCCUGGAUAGCUCAGUUGGUUUGAGCAUGGUGCUGAUAACGCCAAGGUUGCUAGUUCGAUCCCUGUAUGGGACA